CUGCAGCCAAUGAAGCCGACCGUGCUGCCCUCCCCAUGGCGCCCGGUGCGCAGUGGCUGCAAACAGCAGCCUCGUGGGGAAUGCAUGCAGCCUGUUGCUUGUACAGGCUUCCCUAAGGGAGCCUGGAGACAGCU
ensembl:snoRNA SNORA70 Small nucleolar RNA SNORA70